GUAUUCAUACAAUAUAGCGUUAAUGCGUCAGAUCCCAAUAGAACUCCAUCGUUAAGUUCUCUUGAUAUAGAGUAGUACUGGGAUAGGUGAUCUCCCUGGAGGUCCUUGUAUUUUAUAUGCC
rfam:Picea glauca, whole genome shotgun sequence.